UAUAUAGCAUUAAGGCUCUAAAAAAAUAACUGCAGAUAGUCGAUAUGUAUAUACAUCCCUCUUUUGACCGAAUAAAUAAAUAGUCACACCAUGUGGUAAAUGCGUUAUUCUUAAAUGAGUAGUUUUCUAUUGCGUAGCUUGUUGUUCACGCCUUGGGCUGUGAACAAACUCGGCCACUAGAGGGGGCACAUGUAAUGCAAAAUGCCACGGUCCAAAAUUCUUGCGCCACUCAUUUAACACGAACCACAGAGUGACAGACGAUGCGGAUCGAUACACGGACAGUAGCUGACUGCGACUCUGUUUGGAGUCGUUUCCUCCUGCGGGAGUGCAUGGUAACAGCGGCUUGACAUUUCUCAGGCUUUGUGGGCCGACAAGCUGCACAUGGGUUGCGUUUUGGAGCCGCAUAAAUGGCACGGCAUGUAUGGAAACACUGUGGAGACACACAACAGGACAGGUCUUCUGAAGGCUACCUGGCAGUUUGGCAACUCUCUCUAACCCUUUUGGCAGUACGCAAAGCCAGCAGAAAGCCCUCCUUAUAAAUAUUUUGCCAUGCUGUCACAAACAAUAACAGCGGCAGGGUUCACUCUUUCAUGAGUAAGUCGGCACAUCAGCCUACAAUAGCUCGGAACCUCAUUUUACACAGUUCUCCGCACUGUCAUGUCCCUACAAGACCUCAAGAAACCUUGAAUAAAUAAAACAUUUGAUAAGGCCAGGGUCAAAAACAGCGUCAUUUUCAUUAUCGGAUUUCCCUAUGAUGUAAAAGACGUUAUUCUCACACACAUGCAAUGUGGACUCGCCAGGAGGUUGAUGGACAGCCUUGGAAGUGACAGUCUUGGAUUGGAAAAGGAGACCCCAAGACUUCAAAUCCAGGAGUUUCUCUAAAGAGUUCUUUCAAGUUCAUUAUGGCCUCAGAUUCCACAGGUCUGUCUUAAUCGAUAGUCCCCCCAAGCUCACAGUGAUCACUUUGAAAAUGUUUACAAGGUAGAUGCAUCGCUUCAUUUCAGGGUUAACGUUCCCGUACCUUUAAUUAGCUCCGGUUUAGGACCGCGUGUUGAUGUAAAUAUAGAUGUAGGAGUGAGCAGGAGCGGGAGGCUACCACAAGAUUAAAAACCACUUGUUUCUUUUUGACUUGUCACCACAAUAAAGUUGGUGGAGACUCCUGGGAGAUGUGCGUAAAGUAGAACGCCCAGGGCUAUGUUAGACGAGGCCCCGAUAAGUGAUAUGAAAGGUCUCUAAUUAAGCACUUAGCAUUUCAAGGCCGCUAUCACCGCUAGUCCGUGGACUGAGCUGGCGGUCCGUCACCACUGAUAGGCCGGCGCGAUGACUAACAUGAGUUGAGUUGAGUCUUUUGUACUGCAGGCGAGGAGCCCUGAGGCACCAGCUGAUCCGGUGACCCCCUCGGAUUCCCCUUCCCCGCCGAAAGCAGCCGCAGAUCGGAUGUGACAACUUUGCAGAAGGGAAAGUUUUUUUUUUUUCUUUUCGGUGCCGUAAGGCUGAAAGGAGCGGGUGGGUUUCCCGGACUGAUGGCAAAGUCUGGCUCAAGAGGCACAUCCCGUCCGCCGACCUGUCACGUGACCAGCCAGUCGGUUUAGGUGGGAAAACAUUGAAGCCACACCCUCCUCCUGAGGCACUGUUUUUGUUAGGUACCAUCCGUUUAACUUGUGUUUAUGCUAACGAGGCUCGUCCGCACACUCACUGCACACCUCACACCGUAAAUCAGGCCUUUAAAUCUGAUUAUUACUAUGAGCUAUUGGAGAUGACAGGCCUUUGUGCAAAGAAACGAGCAAAAGCCACAAACAUGACGCUAUAGAGGCGCGAGAUUCCUCCGAAGCCUCCGGUCCCCCUUUCCAAACAGAGCCUCAUGUAUUUCCUCAUCUUAAUGGCACAAAGAGGGCAAAACGGAGCUCUGGCAGAGAUGAUAAACAGCCCGUUUCCUCUGACAGAUGGGCUGCACCAUCGCCCGCCUCCUCUCGUUCCUUAACUUGCCCUUUUUCUCUAUUCAAAGCGAAAACAGUUUUUUUUUCCCAAAUUGGUGUUAUUGGAAGUCGUAGAGGAUCGUCUCCAGGUUCAGAGAAAACACUGCUUCCCGUCUCUCCUGGGUAAUUCCUGCAUGCACUUGCCCCGAAACAGUAACUGAUAAUGCAGCUUUUAAAUGCAAAUGCAGCCGUUUCAGAUGGAGGAAAGUCUGCAUUUCUUAAUAUAUCCAGGAAACACAAACAGUAGGUCUUCGCCAAAGGCUUAUUAACGCAGCUGAGUGGCUGAGCGGCACCCUGGUCGCUCAUCCCGGAUUGAAAUUGCUUGAACUUAAAGUUAAUGCAUGUAAAGGAAGCGGCGAGGGGUGCUGGGGGUAGUGGGCAUGGCAAGCCAGGAGCUGACCUCAGUGGGCAAGUUUAAGAUCCGAAAUGGCAACCAUUUCCAUACCCUGGCUGGCUGCCAUGGAAACCAGCCUAGACCGGGAGUGGAACGAUAGUGGACCAGGAGGACUGGGUACCUAAAUGAACAUGAAGAUGAACAGAUGAAGGAAGCCACUGAAGGAGACUGCAGGUAGCUCACGAUUCAUACCACCCACUGUGGGCGUUCAUGGGUUGGCUUCUUGUUUUUGGGGCCCCACUCAAAAAGUCACUACAGCCCCCAACACCCCUUUGAAUGUUUCACAAAUAAAUAAAUAGAGUCAAAGAUUGUAACUAACUAGCUCAUUAGAACAUUCAAGUUGUUUCAGCAUCUCUGUUUAUUUAAUACUUAGUGUAGUGACUGUUUGUGACCAUGAGGGGGCCCCCAAACUUCAGGGGUCCCAUACUCUUCGUCUGUUUUUUGUCCUUUUCAUGUCUUCGUUCUGCCUGGACGUCCAAUUUCCUAUCAGAAACACUUUGGUAGAGUAUCUCUGCUAAUAAGAGACAUACAUGUUGUUUAAAAUCAGCAUAAGGAGGGUGGGUGACUUGUGAAAGGCUGGUGUUUUCUCUUCCUUGUUAAGGAGCACGUGUGGAAAAUUGAGACCGUAGCGUGCGGACAAAUGAUGCUGGUCUAAUACAAGCAGGAUGGUAAAACUGCAAACAUGCCACACAGCAGAAGAGGCCUGAACAGGGGUGGGGGGUGGGUUGCAAAUAGGGCGAUUUGUCAAACCCGCAGCACGUCCUGAAUAAAUGUAUUGGAAGAGCUGGGGCAAUUUUUCGCGUAUGUUUUACGGUUAUUGGGAAAUGUCCAUUUCCCCAGCAUGCUAUCACAGCUCAAAAUGGCCCUCAGCUAAAUGCUGCUGUGCUUUUUUGAAACCUAUUAACACCCUGGCUGAUUUUAUUAGGCUCUAACACAGUAACGUGGGAACAAACCUGUCACUACUUCUUCUAAGGUGUAAAAUCGGUGAUGUCUCUGAAAGUGUUAUUGUGUUAUUUCUAGACAUGCUGCUGUAAUAUUACAUAAUUGCUUUGUAUGAGAUCUUCUGCACAAACUGUGAUACAAAGAAAUCAUUGCAAAAAAAAAAAAUCCAGCAUAACAGAAGUACAGCUAAUAUGUCAAUUUAUUUCAACAGAUAUUCGACCACCCAUUUUUUUCUCUUUAAAUAAAAUAUUAAAAAUUUACUAUGCAUUAUUAAGUACCAGAAUGUUUUUUGUACCAGCUGAGAUGAUGUUGGCAGUAAUGAUGUUCAUAAAUGCAGUUAGUUUUACAAAUACACCAGAUGUUUGUUUUUUGUGUUUAAUGUUCAGAUAGUUUCCAUUGGUGUGCAUUACAUUAAUUUUUCCUGAUGAAUGUGGCAGAUUUCAAACAAAUAUGACCAAGUAGAAACAGCAUAAUAAAUGUUUCAUUUCAUCAUAAUGUGCAUUUGCACUUUUAUAUGUUACUCAUGUUCAUAUGCUCAAUAUGCCUUUUAAUUAACAAUAAAAUCUUGUCCUGUUUUUGUGUUAA